AGGCUGCAAGCCACUGUAAUUUACAUGUUACAUUGAUGAAAUGAAAUCUGGCAAGACAGGAAUGAACUGGUGCAAUGACAAAGCCUCAAAUGUGCCUCCAGGUAAAGAUAUAGGCACAAAAUAACAACAACAGUUUCAUAAUUAGACUGCGUAAAAGCUUCAGCCCUUUCAAGGGGCCACUAAAGCGCUGCAGCUGUUUGUGAUGCCUGGGAAGAAAGAGAGCUGAACCAUUUAAUGCAGAGGGUUCAAUGCUCUGAGAUAAUGAGGUCCUCCCAGGCCGUUGCCUUCUCUUUGCUGAGUUCCAGAAAUAAUCAUCAUGGCUCUUUGGUCCAGGAAAAUGUGUGCCAGAGACUUCCUAUAAAUGAACUCCCGUCCACCAGCCAUGGCUUACCUAAAACCAUAUGCUUUAGAAGAAGCAAGAAGGGAUCACAGAUGUAUUUUUUCCCCACAGGACAAAAGAUAAACUGCAAUAAAUAUGAUAACAAGCUAUUAAUCAAGAAACUUCACUGUAAUAUAGAAUGAAAAGUAGUUCAACAGAAAAUUUGUGACUUUCUACCAAAAAAGAAAUAAGUCACAGUUUUAAGUCAGCACAGAAAAGGUUCUGUAAUAUUAGACAAUUGAUUCCAACGGGAUACACUUUCCAGGAAGAAUUUAUGUUCUUUUGUUUGUGCAAUCCCUCACAAGGACACAUCUAAUAUGCUUUCAUAGACUCUUACAUUUCCACAGCAACAUUUUCUUCAGAAUACAAUUUAAGUGGGUUUUCAAAGGCUCAUGAGAUACAGGAAGCUCUGAGGAACAGAAGGAUGAUAAACUGAGCUCUGCUCUCAGUUACUCUGUCUUGUCACUAAACCAAUCCAGAAUUUAGGCUGCUGUACCUGACAAAAGGCUUUGCCUCACCAUCACUCGCAAUUGUUGUGCCAUACAAGGCAGGAUGCCUUAUUGUUGAAAGAAAAUCAGUGGCAAUGUCAAUUCAGAUUUGGUCUGAAGAAAACACGGAUGUUUUUUAUACAGAGACACAGUCCAUUUGUCAUACAUAACAUGUACUUUUGAAUGACAUGACGUUUUUAGAAAGGAGCGUGUCUUCUCUGUAUUGAAAAAAAUCAACUGCAUGAGUCAAAUAUUUCUGCAGUGAAAAACAAAGGCCUCCAAUAAAUAAAAAUUCUGGUUUAAGCUAAUUUGUUGU
rnacentral:lncRNA from 1 species